rnacentral:tRNA from 2 species
GGCCCGGUGGUGUAGCGGCCUAACAUACCGCCCUGUCACGGCGGAGAUCGGGGGUUCGAAUCCCCUCCGGGUCGCCA